rnacentral:rRNA from 1 species
CGUUCCCGGGCCUUGUACACACCGCCCGUCACACCACGAGAGUUGGUAACACCCGAAGUCGGUGAGGUAACCCUUUUGGAGCCAGCCGCCGAAGGUGGGACUAAUGAUUGGGGUG